AAUUCUUUUGAUUUUGGAGAAAUAAAAGUUCUGAAUUUAUUUAUACAUGUUAGUGUAAGCAUAUAAGUGAGUAAAAACUGAGAUAAAUCACAUUGUAUCAGGUUUAUUAAAAUAAAAUCUUAAUUAACCAAAGACACAUAAUAAAAUCACGUUUUAACUGAAACAAAGUAUUACCUUUAGCAGCAGUAAAGAAUUCUAUACAAUUAAUGUAAAUUAGAUAUGGUAAAUUCUUUUAAUUUUGUCUAAUUAAGUGCCAGCAGACGCGGUUAAACUUAAGAAAUAAAUUUUUAUGUAACAAUAAGUUAAUAUAUGUAGAUUCUAUAAAAAAUAUAAUUAGAAUAAUUUUGAUUAGGUUAAAUUAACAAAAUUAAUUAUUCUUAAAAAGAAGUUUAAUUAUAUAAAAAAUUGAGAUAUGAAAGAAAAGAUAUUAAAUAGGAUUAGAUACCCUAGUAAACUUUUCUGUAAAUAAAGAAAAAUUCUACUUGAACAGUACACUCAAAGAGUGAAAAUCAAAAAUUUUGGUUGUUUAUUUUCUAAUUAGAGGAAUAUGUAUUUUAAUUCGAUAAUCCGCGAAAAAUCUUACCUAUUUUUGAAUUAUCAGGUACUGCAUGGUCGUCGUCAACUUAAAUAUAUAAUUUAGGUUAAAUUCUUUUGAGAAUUAAGUCAGAUAGUAUGGUCCUUAUAAAUAGGGAUAAUAUGUAUUACAAUUAUUAUUUUAAUUUAAGAAUAAUAAUGGAAUAUAAAUGUAAUUUUAGAAGAAAGAGAAUUUAAUAGUAAUUGAAAAAUAUAAUGUUUCAAUGAAUUAGUUCAAAUAUGAAUACAAAUUGCCCGUCGCCUUUCUUAAUAAUUAAGAAUUAAAAAGAGAGUAAGUCGUAACAUAGUGGGAGAAAGGGAACUUUUUCCUGAUAAUGG
rnacentral:rRNA from 1 species